AUGUUCUAUUUCUUUAUUUAACAUGUUCCAUCUCACAGGGAAUCAAACCAGACCAUAAGUCUGCCUGCAUGCUUAACUAAAAGGAAAUAAUCUAUUUUGACACUUUUUCUCAGAAUACUUGUAUUAAGUAAACAGUUGAUUACACAGAUCUGACAAAGUGUAGUUCUAAGUCAGGGUUUCUCCAUCUCAGUAUUGUUGAUAUUUUGGGCAAGAUAAUUCUUUGUUGUGAGAAGCUGUCCUAUAAUUCAGAAGAUGUUUAUCAGUAUUCCUGGCUUCUGUAGCACCCUCCCAAAGUGACAAACAAAAAUAUCUCCAGACAUUGCCAAAUAUCCCCUGCAGGGGUUCCCAGUUGAAAACCAGUGAUCUGAGUGACUGGAAUGCUGACCUUGGCUCUGCUGUUAACUAGCUCUAUGACUUAAAGCAAGUCAUUCAGACUUUUGGGGCUUCAUUUUUUUCAAUAGGGAAUGAAGAGUUUGGAUUUGAUGACCAUUAAGAAUACUUUCAGUAUCUUUUAGUCUGACUCCUUUGGCUACAUAACACCUGAUUUAGAAGGUUAUCUCCUUGGCAUUCUCAGCCAUCUGGAACAAUCUUAAGUAGCAGGAAUUAAAUUCAAAAAGCCUUUUUAAACAGGCAAAAUGGAUGUCUCCAUCAAGGCCUAAUUCAAAAGAGAUCCCCUCCAGCUUUCUCUUAGAACCUGUCAUGUUUUACAUAAAAGCACAGUCCUGAUGAGCUUGCUUCUCAUAUCCUUGUCUAAAACAGAUUAACAAAUUUCUGUUUGGGUAGAGUUUGUAAAAGCAGGCAUAUUAAAAGUACAAAAAGUAAUUUGAAGGAAAAAAUUAAACUUAAAAAGCGACACAUGUUAAACAAAAGAUUCAAGUUAAUGGUUAACUCUAAGAGGAAGGAAGAUUUGGUAUGAAAGAGGCAUCAAGGGGCUUUAAAGUUAUUAAUGUUCCAUCCUGUUUUAAAAGUUAUGUCUGUUAUAUUCUUUUUUUAAUCAAUAUGAUACAUUGCAUAAUUUUAAUAAGAUACUUAAAAGCAAGACACACUAAAAACAUAGCAACUUGACACCAGUAGGCAUAUAUGCAAAGAACCCUCCAUAUUUCAGUGAUAUUUUGUAAUUACUAUGUUAUAGCACAAUACAAUAAUUGAUGCUCAUAAAGAAAAUGCUAAAAUAUAUUAGACAUGUCAUUUCCAAUAAAGGGAUAUAGGCAUUACAGUUUAAAUUUUUUUUCAUCAGAAAUUAUUGGAAUUAAAUAUUUAAGUGUUGAUUGUGUAAAGGAGUAAUCUCAAGCUAUCUGAAAAUUCAGAACCUGAUUUCUCAAGUAAAUUAAGUAUUACUCCAAAGGGACUUGAUCCCUGCCCUUUGCCAUAGAUGGUGUCUUUCUUCUUUACCAUUGUAUCCCUAGUUCACCUGAGUGUUUGGCACAGACAGUAGACACUCAGCAAAUAUUUGUUGAAGGAAUUAAUAGUCCGUUUGGUCACACAGAUGUUAUUUCCCUCGUAACCUACCUCUGCUUAAAGUCAUCAAAAACAACUUUAUGGUGACAUUCUGGGGUUUUUUUUUUUUUUUUUUUUUUGCUUUGGCUAUUAGAUUGAAGAUUUACAUAGACACUGUGAAGGAUAUUUAAAAUACUAGCUCUAAUCUGGUUGUUUAAGCAUAUAGCAAUACAAGUUUUAGUAUACUUAUUCAAACACACAGGAGAAAUUAACCAAUAUCAUAUAUACCCAGGAAAGAUUUCCACAAGAAUAUCUUAGUUCUAACACUUUUAACUCUAAGAAGACUAAAAGCAGGUAUGUGAUGUCAAGGAAGACAGAAAAGGUUUUGACAGAUGGUAGGGAUUAGGUCUGGCAUACUCUGUGCUAGUCUAGGCCUCUCUUGGAGGAAGGACUUUGACAGUGGGAAGAAUAUGAAGGGACCCAGACCAUUAUUGCCAAGAAUUUUAAAUUUUUCUCUAUUCAUUAUAUCCUUUUCUUUCUUCAUUUCUUUUUCCUCCUACCUUGGUUAAUUGCUUAUAACAUAGAACUCUUGUCAUAUUUAUUGAAAAAAGUUUUGUUUUUCCUAUUCAAGAUUUUCAUUAAAUGUGUUCUAGUCCUGUACUCGUGAAAGAUGUACAACAAAUAGGGGCACCUGGGUGGCUGAGUCAGUUAAGCAUCCAACUUCGGCUCAGGUCAUGAUCAUAUGGCUCGUGGAUUCAAGCCCCGUGUCAGGCUUUGUGCUGACAGCUGGGAACCUGGAGUCUGCUUGGGAUUCUGUGUCUCCCUCACUCUCUGCCCCUCUCCCACCUAUGCUCACUCUCUUGCUCUCUCUCUCUCUCUCUCAAAAAUAAAUAAAACAUUAAAAAAAAUAAUAAAGUUCGUAAUUGCAGUUUAAAAAAGAAUGGAAGGGAGGGAGGGAAAGAAAAAUGUACAAUAAAUUAACGUAGCUUUUAUUUUCCCCCGUGGUUAGAAACAUAAAUUGCUACUGCUGCCUCUGAGAUUGGAGUGUAAGGCAGUGAAUGCUGUCUACUGGAGACCUGUACGUGAGGGUAUGCCCAAAGACUAAGGAGGCAGCGUCCACAUCUAUCAGAAUAAUAAGCUUUGAUUGAGGCCUGUAGUGCUAAUUGCAGAACCUGUUUCUCUCAGCCAUUCAGUUCUUAGUCUUGAGGACUAAUUGAUCUUGGGCUAAUUUUUUUGUUUGGAGUUUUUAGAGGGAGAAAGA